rnacentral:rRNA from 1 species
AUGCUAUUUCUGCCAUACACAAGGCUAAGCUUCAGCCAGAGGACUUUGUUCAUGAUUUAUUCAAAAAAAAAGAUGUACCUGGCAGCUUACAGUCCCAUUAUAUAUCCUGUACCUGGACCUGAUAUGUGGCCAAGGACAGACAGUAUGGACAUUGAGGCUCCAGUUUUCAAAGAACACAAGGGAAGGGCGCAGACUAAGAGGAGAAAGGGCCAAUAUGAGAAGCCAGCUCCCAAAGACACCUCAAGAAUGGCCUCAAUUACCUGCUCUAAUUGCAAAAAGGUUGGCCAUAGAUACACCAACUGUAAUGUUGCUUUGAAUCCAUCACUGGCAAUGAGAAAGAAUAGGCAUGAGCCAAGCAGCAGCUCCUAUGAACUUGAUGCAGCCACACCAGCAAGGAGGGCCUCUUCUGCUGCUGGUGCUGCUGCCACUGCACCAUCACCAGCAAGGAGGGCCUCUUCUGCUGCUGGUGCUGCUGCUACUGCACCAUCACCAGCACAGAGGGCAUCUUCUUCUUCUGCUACAGCACCUGGACCAGCAAAGAAGAGGGCCUCUUCUGCUUCUACAACAACACCUGGACCACCAAAGAAGAGGGCAUCUUCUGCUUCUGCAACAACACCUGGACCACCAAAGAAGAGGGCCACUUCUGCUGCACCAGCACAGAGGACAACUGCUGGUAGUUCAUCAUCUGAUGCAAAGGGUAAAACAGCAGUAACUAGAUCUUCAGCUGUUGCAAAGGGAGCAAGGGCAUCUUUCUUGCCUCCAAGGCUAACUGGUGUUUGCCAAAGAAUCAGGAAGCCCACCCAGAAAAUUAGAGAUUACUUGACUGCUUCAGGUGCUCCAUGGGAAUGA